ensembl:lncRNA
AGUGUAUGAGCACCGAUGAAAAGCCCUCCUUCUCAAUCACCAGCAGUUCCUUCACAGAUGCACCAUCUAGAGGCAGCCAGGAGCACGACUCAGUAAAGUUUGGUUCAGCACCUACUCCAGACAGAGCCCCAGGAGGAGUGUAUGAGCACCGAUGAAAAGCCCUCCUUCUCAAUCACCAGCAGUUCCUUCACAGAUGCACCAUCUAGAGGCAGCCAGGAGCACGACUCAGUAAAGUUUGGUUCAGCACCUACUCCAGACAUAAAGGCUGCUCCUGCACUGAUGGACUCACUGCUGCCCAACACACUGUCCUCCAUCACCAACCUGUCCAGCUGCAUGAAGGAUGGAAA